rnacentral:snRNA from 1 species
UUCUUUGCGCAGUGGCAGUAUCAUAGCCAAUGAGGUCCAACCGGGGCGUGAUUAUUGCUGAUUGC